AGAGAUGUAGCUCAGUGGUAGAGCACUUGCUUUGCAUGUAGGAGGUCUCUGGUUCAAUCCUCAGCAUCUCCA